UGGCGGACGGGUGAGUAAUGUCUGGGAAACUGCCCGAUGGAGGGGGAUAACUACUGGAAACGGUAGCUAAUACCGCAUAACGUCGCAAGACCAAAGAGGGGGAACUUCGGGCCUCUUGCCAUCGGAUGUGCCCAGAUGGGAUUAGCUAGUAGGUGGGGUAACGGCUCACCUAGGCGACGAUCCCUAGCUGGUCUGAGAGGAUGACCAGCCACACUGGAACUGAGACACGGCCCAG
rnacentral:rRNA from 1 species